AAGUCGUAACAAGGUUUCCGUAGGUGAACCUGCGGAAGGAUCAUUACAGAGUUCAUGCCCUCACGGGUAGAUCUCCCACCCUUGAAUACUUAUACCUUUGUUGCUUUGGCGGGCCGCUUCGGCUACCGGCUUCGGCUGGUGAGUGCCCGCCAGAGGACCCAAAACUCUGAAUUAUAGUGUCGUCUGAGUACUAUAUAAUAGUUAAAACUUUCAACAACGGAUCUCUUGGUUCUGGCAUCGAUGAAGAACGCAGCGAAAUGCGAUAAGUAAUGUGAAUUGCAGAAUUCAGUGAAUCAUCGAAUCUUUGAACGCACAUUGCGCCCCUUGGUAUUCCGAGGGGCAUGCCUGUUCGAGCGUCAUUAUAACCCCUCAAGCUCAGCUUGGUGUUGGGGCCUGCUGCACUGGCAGCCCUUAAAAUCAGUGGCGGCGCCAUCUGGCUCUAAGCGUAGUAAUUCUUCUCGCUAUGGAGUCCUGGUGGAUGCUUGCCAUCAACCCCCAAUUUUUCUAUGGUUGACCUCGGAUCAGGUAGGGAUACCCGCUGAACUUAA
rnacentral:rRNA from 1 species